rnacentral:rRNA from 1 species
AACGAACGCUGGCGGCAUGCCUAACACAUGCAAGUCGAACGAAACCUUCGGGGUUAGUGGCGCACGGGUGCGUAACGCGUGGGGAUCUGCCCUAUGCUUCGGAAUAACAGUUAGAAAUGACUGCUAAUACCGGAUGAUGUCGCAAGACCAAAGAUUUAUCGGCAAAGGAUGAACCCGCGUAGGAUUAGCUAGUUGGUGGGGUAAAGGCCUACCAAGGCGACGAUCCUUAGCUGGUCUGAGAGGAUGAUCAGCCACACUGGGACUGAGACACGGCCCAGACUCCUACGGGAGGCAGCAGUGGGGAAUAUUGGACAAUGGGCGAAAGCCUGAUCCAGCAAUGCCGCGUGAGUGAUGAAGGUCUUAGGGUUGUAAAGCUCUUUUACCAGGGAUGAUAAUGACAGUACCUGGAGAAUAAGCUCCGGCUAACUCCGUGCCAGCCGCCGCAGUAAGAC